CUGACCCCGAAUCCGAACGGAUUCCGAUGUCUGAGGGGGAGGAGAUGAGGUGAAUAAGUUAGUGCUUCCCGGAUCACGGUUGGUUGCACCAACAAUGAUGGCUGAACAUAAAGUCUGUAUCCUGGAUAUUGAACCUAGGGAUGUGCACCUACCUGGGGCAGUGUCUCCCUCACAGAUGUGUGAGAAAUCAGAGAAGACUAAAUGGAUAAAGACUCAGAAUGACACGUUGAGUCCGACUGAGGGAAAGGGUUGAUAAUUACUUGGCAUGGGGCAGUUGUACCUAGUUGAACGAAGCGUGUUGUUAACCGAGAAGUGUGACCUCGCGUGUACCACGUGGAAGAGUUGGUUGAAAAGGAUCCUUCCUCCUCAAGACGAUUAUGGGGCAAAUGGACAAACAGCUAUGAACGUCUGUUCGUGGUCAAGAGGGUCCCAUCUGACAGAACCUUGUUGUUUACGACCACGGAUGACGACGAUUUUCAUCCCCUGUGAAUGCGGACGCAGUUAGAAAAUACUUCGUGAAAGAAACC
rnacentral:lncRNA from 1 species